rnacentral:rRNA from 1 species
CCUACGGGUGGCAGCAGUGAGGAAUAUUGGUCAAUGGGCGGAAGCCUGAACCAGCCAAGCCGCGUGAGGGAAGAAGGCUCAGAGCAUCGCAAACCUCUUUUGCCGGGGAGCAAAAGGCCGGACGCGUCCGGUUCUGCGCGUACCCGACGAAAAAGCAUCGGCUAACUCCGUGCCAGCAGCCGCGGUAAUACGGAGGAUGCGAGCGUUAUCCGGAUUCAUUGGGGUUAAAGGGUGCGCAGGCGGGCCUUUAAGCCGGCGGUGAAAUCGCGGGGCUCAACCCCGCCGAGUCGUCGGAACUGGGGGGCUGGAGUGCGGGGGAGGUAGGCGGAAUGCGUGGUGUAGCGGUGAAAUGCAUAGAUAUCGCGCAGAACCCCGAUUGCGAAGGCAGCGUGCCGGGCCUCAACUGACGCUGAGGCACGAAAGCGUGGGGAUCGAACAGGAUUAGAUACCCCAGUAGUC